GCCCGGCUAACUCAAUUGGUCAGAGUGCCAGACUUUUACAUCCCAAAGAGCGAUCUGGAGGCUCAGGGUUCGAGUCCCUGGUCGGGCG
rnacentral:tRNA from 2 species